GCGUCUGAGAACGGAGGCUCGUUCUCCUUCUGGUGGUGGGCGAUGGGCGUCAGGCGAGAAGGCCGGCGUUAGCGGAGCGCGGGCGCUGCGGUGAGUGCGGCCUGGCUCCGGCCCCGGUUCCCGGGGAAGGCGUCCUCCAGCUGCUGGUCAUCCGGGAGACGAGCGGUGUCCGCGGAGGGGUGGGACAACCCCUGACAACUGGCUGGUCCAGGAAGGGCCCGACUCCUGGUCUCUCCCGUUCCCCUCCUCCGGUGCCCAGCGAGUUUGAUGUGGUUUGCCGGUCUCAGAGGGUGGCCUUGACCAGUUCUCCUUUCUUUUGGACACUAGACCCAACUUUGGACUCGUUCCUUUUGCUUCCUUUUUCUCAUUUUGUGCUAUCUACAAUCCCAGGCCUUACUACAACCAUUUGUCAUGUUUUCCCUAUUCCCCUGUACCCCGGUCACGCAUGAUUUUAGUGAAGUACAAGAAUUGAGUUAAAUAAACUCACCACAUUU
rnacentral:lncRNA from 1 species